rnacentral:lncRNA from 1 species
CCAUUUGCCCAAAAUUCCCAAAUCUGAAAUACGCUGCUCGCUUCUAUGUCGUCUCCACCGUCAGGUAACUCCACAGUCCACCACUAGUUCACCUUUGCCUUUCUGUCUUCUGCUGCCGGUUCCAAAAUCUUUGAGAAGUCAAUCCAACUUCAAGUCCACAGCGCUUGCUUCGCACUCUGCAGAUCGCAGCCCCCCUCCGCUCCGCUGCUCGUCGAUCGAAGACUCGAAGUUUGCAGCAUUGCUGCAGGCCUGCAGCUCUUGGGCCUCUGGCCCUAUUCUUUUGGACUUGGUACUUGUUGAUAUUGGCUUAUUGCUUGUAAUUACCUAAUUCAAGUAAAUUAUUGGAGCUUGCAGAUAUGAAUGUGGCACUAUUUAGUUACUGUUUUUGCCUUCAUUUUUUUGGGUUUUGGGUAAUGUUUUAUUAGCUUUUGGGUUAAGUUAAGCUAUUUUUAAGUACUAAUAAUUACUUGAACAAGUUAAUGUUGGCGUGGUUAUGAAAUUUUCAGUCUCUAGAAGUAAUGGGAUUCUGUUCUUGGCUUUAGUUCUUCUAUAUUUGUUAUUAGUAUUAUCCAGUGAAUUUUUUCGAAUGUUCGUAUUCAUCAAAGGAGAUUGAUGGAUUGGGGACAAUUCCUUUUCAUUCCUUAAUCUUUUCCUUUUAUUUCUUAGAUUAUGCUUUAAUAGUUUAAAAGGAGAAAAGAAGGUUAAGGUGUGUUUAAUUAAAUAUGUGAAGAACCGGGCCUGCUUAUUGGUUUGGGCAAUGCCACAAUGGGUAUCGAUUGAUAGAGAUAACUGCACUUCUUUUGGAAUUUUGAGGGGUUUCAAUGUUCCAUAGAUUUGAUUUUCAAUUGUCCAUUGAUACAACUCAAAAGACUUUUGUUCCUAACUUCCUAUUAGUCUAUUAUGGUAUUUACCAAUGUUUGAUUUGGAUUUACUUUCUAUACAAUCUAAAGAUUCUUGGUGACUGGACCAUUUCUAUACAGUCUAAAUAUCAAAUAUUUAUUUUCUCAAAUUGCUUUGAAUCAUGAAGUUUUGCUUGUUUUAUUGUGUGAAUUCAUUGAAUUGUAGUUGCAUGAUUAUUAUGAUUAUUUUUAUAUAUACUGUAAUUCUGUAAAGUCAAAGAGUGUAAUAUGCUUGGGGAAGAUGUACAUUCUAGCCUUCUAGGCUGGUUUUCUUAAAGUGUAAUAAGUUGAAUCUAUCUUUUUUGAUAAUGAAGAAUCAUAUUGGAGGUUGAUUAUGUAUUUGUCAAUUCAAGGGCCGGAAACUUCUACGGUCACUAAUGAUUCAUUUUCAGAGCUCCAAUUUUCAUUGAUGAAAUUCAAGAACCACCAGGUAUUCAGACUAUCUGUCCUAUGGAGUAUGGACUCUAUAGUUCAAGACUUUGGUUCCUAUUACGGUAUUACCCUAUCCAACUAAUCCAAGAAAACAUUUUCAGGCCCUUAAAGUAUAGCAAAAGCCAGAAUGGAAGAUGAGAUUCAUAUUGGAUCCUAUAUUUCAAGAAUUUAUUCAAGCCAAUAGCUUAUAUGUAAGUUGUCGCUUUUAGUUAAACUUGAAAAAUGUAAAAUCAUUAGCAUCAAUAUGAAUUUUUUUUAUAAUAUAUAACUUAGAUAUUUAAAUAAUUAUAGCUUAAUGACUAUUGACUUGUCACUUGUAUAGCUAGAAAAUCCAUUUUGUAUCAGUGAACGAAUUUUAUAACUUAAUUGAAGGAAUUGAUAUGGAUAACUUCUUACAAUGCGACAAUGCCUUAAAUUUAAUUUGACUUAAAUGUGAUAUUGUGUAAGUUAAAGUAUCAUAAUUUUAUUUCAAUUUUAUUUCAGGCUCAUGAAUUGUAACGAU